rnacentral:rRNA from 2 species
UUAAGCGACUAAGCGUACACGGUGGAUGCCCUGGCAGUCAGAGGCGAUGAAGGACGUGCUAAUCUGCGAAAAGCGUCGGUAAGGUGAUAUGAACCGUUAUAACCGGCGAUGUCCGAAUGGGGAAACCCAGUGCAAUUCGUUGCACUAUCGUUAACUGAAUACAUAGGUUAACGAGGCGAACCGGGGGAACUGAAACAUCUAAGUACCCCGAGGAAAAGAAAUCAACCGAGAUUCCCCCAGUAGCGGCGAGCGAACGGGGAGCAGCCCAGAGUCUGAAUCAGCUUGUGUGUUAGUGGAACGGUCUGGAAAGUCCGACGGUACAGGGUGAUAGUCCCGUACACCAAAAUGCACAGGUUGUGAACUCGAAGAGUAGGGCGGGACACGUGGUAUCCUGUCUGAAUAUGGGGGGACCAUCCUCCAAGGCUAAAUACUCCUGACUGACCGAUAGUGAACCAGUACCGUGAGGGAAAGGCGAAAAGAACCCCGGCGAGGGGAGUGAAAAAGAACCUGAAACCGUGUACGUACAAGCAGUGGGAGCACCUUCGGGUGUGACUGCGUACCUUUUGUAUAAUGGGUCAGCGACUUAUAUUCUGUAGCAAGGUUAACCGUAUAGGGGAGCCGCAGGGAAACCGAGUCUUAACUGGGCGUUAAGUUGCAGGGUAUAGACCCGAAACCCGGUGAUCUAGCCAUGGGCAGGUUGAAGGUUGGGUAACACUAACUGGAGGACCGAACCGACUAAUGUUGAAAAAUUAGCGGAUGACUUGUGGCUGGGGGUGAAAGGCCAAUCAAACCGGGAGAUAGCUGGUUCUCCCCGAAAGCUAUUUAGGUAGCGCCUCGUGAACUCAUCUUCGGGGGUAGAGCACUGUUUCGGCUAGGGGGUCAUCCCGACUUACCAACCCGAUGCAAACUACGAAUACCGAAGAAUGUUAUCACGGGAGACACACGGCGGGUGCUAACGUCCGUCGUGAAGAGGGAAACAACCCAGACCGCCAGCUAAGGUCCCAAAGUCAUGGUUAAGUGGGAAACGAUGUGGGAAGGCACAGACAGCCAGGAUGUUGGCUUAGAAGCAGCCAUCAUUUAAAGAAAGCGUAAUAGCUCACUGGUCGAGUCGGCCUGCGCGGAAGAUGUAACGGGGCUAAACCAUGCACCGAAGCUGCGGCAGCGACACUAUGUGUUGUUGGGUAGGGGAGCGUUCUGUAAGCCUGCGAAGGUGACCUGUGAGGGUUGCUGGAGGUAUCAGAAGUGCGAAUGCUGACAUAAGUAACGAUAAAGCGGGUGAAAAGCCCGCUCGCCGGAAGACCAAGGGUUCCUGUCCAACGUUAAUCGGGGCAGGGUGAGUCGACCCCUAAGGCGAGGCCGAAAGGCGUAGUCGAUGGGAAACAGGUUAAUAUUCCUGUACUUGGUGUUACUGCGAAGGGGGGACGGAGAAGGCUAUGUUAGCCGGGCGACGGUUGUCCCGGUUUAAGCAUGUAGGCUGGUUGUCCAGGCAAAUCCGGAUAAUCAAGGCUGAGGUGUGAUGACGAGGCACUACGGUGCUGAAGUAACAAAUGCCCUGCUUCCAGGAAAAGCCUCUAAGCAUCAGGUAACAUCAAAUCGUACCCCAAACCGACACAGGUGGUCAGGUAGAGAAUACCAAGGCGCUUGAGAGAACUCGGGUGAAGGAACUAGGCAAAAUGGUGCCGUAACUUCGGGAGAAGGCACGCUGGUGUGUAGGUGAAGUCCCUGCGGAUGGAGCUGAGACCAGUCGAAGAUACCAGCUGGCUGCAACUGUUUAUUAAAAACACAGCACUGUGCAAACACGAAAGUGGACGUAUACGGUGUGACGCCUGCCCGGUGCCGGAAGGUUAAUUGAUGGGGUUAUCCGUAAGGAGAAGCUCUUGAUCGAAGCCCCGGUAAACGGCGGCCGUAACUAUAACGGUCCUAAGGUAGCGAAAUUCCUUGUCGGGUAAGUUCCGACCUGCACGAAUGGCGUAAUGAUGGCCAGGCUGUCUCCACCCGAGACUCAGUGAAAUUGAACUCGCUGUGAAGAUGCAGUGUACCCGCGGCAAGACGGAAAGACCCCGUGAACCUUUACUAUAGCUUGACACUGAACAUUGAGCCUUGAUGUGUAGGAUAGGUGGGAGGCUUUGAAGCGUGGACGCCAGUCUGCGUGGAGCCAACCUUGAAAUACCACCCUUUAAUGUUUGAUGUUCUAACGUUGGCCCCUUACCGGGGUUGCGGACAGUGUCUGGUGGGUAGUUUGACUGGGGCGGUCUCCUCCCAAAGCGUAACGGAGGAGCACGAAGGUUAGCUAAUCCUGGUCGGACAUCAGGAGGUUAGUGCAAUGGCAUAAGCUAGCUUGACUGCGAGCGUGACGGCGCGAGCAGGUGCGAAAGCAGGUCAUAGUGAUCCGGUGGUUCUGAAUGGAAGGGCCAUCGCUCAACGGAUAAAAGGUACUCCGGGGAUAACAGGCUGAUACCGCCCAAGAGUUCAUAUCGACGGCGGUGUUUGGCACCUCGAUGUCGGCUCAUCACAUCCUGGGGCUGAAGUAGGUCCCAAGGGUAUGGCUGUUCGCCAUUUAAAGUGGUACGCGAGCUGGGUUUAGAACGUCGUGAGACAGUUCGGUCCCUAUCUGCCGUGGGCGCUGGAGAAUUGAGGGGGGCUGCUCCUAGUACGAGAGGACCGGAGUGGACGCAUCACUGGUGUUCGGGUUGUCAUGCCAAUGGCACUGCCCGGUAGCUAAAUGCGGAAGAGAUAAGUGCUGAAAGCAUCUAAGCACGAAACUUGCCCCGAGAUGAGUUCUCCCUGAGACUUUAAGUCUCCUGAAGGAACGUUGAAGACGACGACGUUGAUAGGCCGGGUGUGUAAGCGCAGCGAUGCGUUGAGCUAACCGGUACUAAUGAACCGUGAGGCUUAACCUU